GAACGAACGCUGGCGGCAGGCCUAACACAUGCAAGUCGAGCGCCCAGCAAGUGGGAGCGGCAGACGGGUGAGUAACGCGUGGGAACCUUCCCAAUGGUACGGAAUAGCUCAGGGGAAACUUGAGGUAAUACCGCAUAAGCCCGAAAGGGGAAAGAUUUAUCGCCAUUGGAUGGGCCCGCGUAGGAUUAGCUAGUUGGUGAGGUAAUGGCUCACCAAGGCGACGAUCCUUAGCUGGUUUGAGAGAAUGACCAGCCACACUGGGACUGAGACACGGCCCAGACUCCUACGGGAGGCAGCAGUGGGGAAUCUUGGACAAUGGGCGCAAGCCUGAUCCAGCCAUGCCGCGUGAGUGACGAAGGUCUUCGGAUUGUAAAGCUCUUUUGCCAGGGACGAUAAUGACGGUACCU
rnacentral:rRNA from 1 species